rnacentral:rRNA from 1 species
AAAUUGAAGAGUUUGAUCAUGGCUCAGAUUGAACGCUGGCGGCAGGCCUAACACAUGCAAGUCGAGCGGUAGCACAGAGAGCUUGCUCUCGGGUGACGAGCGGCGGACGGGUGAGUAAUGUCUGGGAAACUGCCUGAUGGAGGGGGAUAACUACUGGAAACGGUAGCUAAUACCGCAUAAUGUCGCAAGACCAAAGUGGGGGACCUUCGGGCCUCAUGCCAUCAGAUGUGCCCAGAUGGGAUUAGCUAGUAGGUGGGGUAAUGGCUCACCUAGGCGACGAUCCCUAGCUGGUCUGAGAGGAUGACCAGCCACACUGGAACUGAGACACGGUCCAGACUCCUACGGGAGGCAGCAGUGGGGAAUAUUGCACAAUGGGCGCAAGCCUGAUGCAGCCAUGCCGCGUGUGUGAAGAAGGCCUUCGGGUUGUAAAGCACUUUCAGCGGGGAGGAAGGCGAUAAGGUUAAUAACCUUGUCGAUUGACGUUACCCGCAGAAGAAGCACCGGCUAACUCCGUGCCAGCAGCCGCGGUAAUACGGAGGGUGCAAGCGUUAAUCGGAAUUACUGGGCGUAAAGCGCACGCAGGCGGUCUGUCAAGUCGGAUGUGAAAUCCCCGGGCUCAACCUGGGAACUGCAUUCGAAACUGGCAGGCUAGAGUCUUGUAGAGGGGGUAGAAUUCCAGGUGUAGCGGUGAAAUGCGUAGAGAUCUGGAGGAAUACCGGUGGCGAAGGCGGCCCCCUGGACAAAGACUGACGCUCAGGUGCGAAAGCGUGGGGAGCAAACAGGAUUAGAUACCCUGGUAGUCCACGCCGUAAACGAUGUCGAUUUGGAGGUUGUGCCCUUGAGGCGUGGCUUCCGGAGCUAACGCGUUAAAUCGACCGCCUGGGGAGUACGGCCGCAAGGUUAAAACUCAAAUGAAUUGACGGGGGCCCGCACAAGCGGUGGAGCAUGUGGUUUAAUUCGAUGCAACGCGAAGAACCUUACCUGGUCUUGACAUCCACAGAACUUUCCAGAGAUGGAUUGGUGCCUUCGGGAACUGUGAGACAGGUGCUGCAUGGCUGUCGUCAGCUCGUGUUGUGAAAUGUUGGGUUAAGUCCCGCAACGAGCGCAACCCUUAUCCUUUGUUGCCAGCGGUCCGGCCGGGAACUCAAAGGAGACUGCCAGUGAUAAACUGGAGGAAGGUGGGGAUGACGUCAAGUCAUCAUGGCCCUUACGACCAGGGCUACACACGUGCUACAAUGGCAUAUACAAAGAGAAGCGACCUCGCGAGAGCAAGCGGACCUCAUAAAGUAUGUCGUAGUCCGGAUUGGAGUCUGCAACUCGACUCCAUGAAGUCGGAAUCGCUAGUAAUCGUAGAUCAGAAUGCUACGGUGAAUACGUUCCCGGGCCUUGUACACACCGCCCGUCACACCAUGGGAGUGGGUUGCAAAAGAAGUAGGUAGCUUAACCUUCGGGAGGGCGCUUACCACUUUGUGAUUCAUGACUGGGGUGAAGUCGUAACAAGGUAACCGUAGGGGAACCUGCGGUUGGAUCACCUCCUUA